rnacentral:lncRNA from 1 species
AUUAAGAUCAACAAAGGUAGAGUUUAUCUGGGCAGAUGACGCCCUGCACAACAGUACAUAUUUUAAUUAUUCUUUUUUAGGCUGAAUCAGCGUGUGUCCCAGCAUGCCCUGAGAGGUCAGCUCAUUGGGUACUACAAUAGUCUAAGAAGCCUCUUAGAUGAUUUCCCUGCCAUCAGAGACAAGUAAUUCAUUGGACUACCUCAAGGGAAAAAAGAGGAGCAAGACUUAAAAAAAAACCUUGCAGCUGAUCCCAGCAGCUUGUGGCCCAGCCACUGUCACUUCCAUAUGGCUUGCUAUACUGUGCUGCUUUUCUGCGUUUGAGAAACCAAGGAACCCGAGAGCAAACCCUUAUCUACUGGGGGGAGGCAGACAUGAAGGUGUCCAGCGAGCAGCGAGCGUGGGGAUGGCUGCAGCACGUCCUUUGCACCUGCAUCGACCUGCCCCUGGCAUUCACACCAGAUCCUUCCAUCGUCGACCAUGCUCUUUGCUGUCUCCAGAUGGACACACCUUCCUUAACUUGUGGUUCAUCCCUCACCCUACUGAAGGGCCGAUCAUGUUCAAAAUGCUUCCAGAGAAGGGGAAAGAGGAAAAAUGGAGAAAGUCAUGAAGUCCAAAACUCCUGGAGGAAAAAAGAGCUUACUGAACUGAGAGAUUUUUAA